CGACACUGGUGAUCCAGAGUCUUUUCUCUUUCCAGCUGUUGCUGUAAUCCAUUUUUAUGAGAAAAUGUGCUCCAGCUGUGUCUUAUAAAGUAGGUAACUGAGACCAAUUUUGAUGUUUGUUUAUUUUUAUACCAACUGACAGUGAGUUUUAGACUUUGUGGAUGUGCCCUGACACUUAAAAAAACAUUGACAUAAGUUUAUGAGAAAAAAAUCUGUAAUGUUACAAGCAUUCAGUAGCCUAAUAUACUAACAAAUGCAUUGGAAGUAAAUGCAUUAAAUUUCAACAUAUACUUGGAGGGAGUUUGCUUUUUGCAAAGCAUUACAAAAUAAUUGUUUAGUUUGAUGUUGUAGAAAAUCUGUGCAACACAAGUAAUGUCCUUUCUCCAUGUCCUAAUUUCGAAACAGUAUCAAACAUCAUUGCAUUUAAAAUUCAUAAUCACCUGAUCUGAGCUCUUUCAUUUACCCAGCAAUGAUGAGUUUAACAAACGCUGUGGGAGAAAAGGAUAAAAGGACAAGAUUAAAUGAUAGAAUAAUACAUAGAAUAUAUUAGCUUUAACUUUUCAAAUUUGGAAAAUGGUUACUCCUUCAUAGCUGACUCAGCCGUUUCCAUCUUCCUGUCCUGCCAUCAGCUGUUCUACCUCUGAUUCUGUCAUUUUCUCACCUGCAGGUACAACGUGAUACUCUGUGCUUGUUUCUGGCAGCGUUAAUCACAAGGACCAGAGGGAAUUACAGUGAGGCCUCAUCCUUAUUUUCCACAUGAGAGAGAGACUCACUCAGACAACAAACAGGAAUGUUAAAGUGUAAUAUGGGAGCUUGCAGACACCUGCGUGGAACCUCGUAUGACCACAUGGAAGCUCUUUUAUACUGACCUCAGGUGAGCUUCAAUUGUCCAGACCCCAUCACUGACCAUCAAGUUAGUUAAAGUUGCAUAUGUGGUCUCAAAUCAAUAUGAAGAAACAUUUAUGUCUUCACAUACAGUAGGUACUCAACUGAGAAUGGGGUUUUAAAGCCUAAAGUUUGUGUGAAACAUUUUAACCUUAUUUGAUUUGAUUGAUUUGAGC
ensembl:lncRNA